GGGCCGGCGUCUCGGGUCCCGGGGAGGCGCGGCCCCGAGGGGGAGGCCGGCCCCGCGUCCGCACCGCCGCCCGCCUCACCUCGUCCACCGUGCGGCGCGGGAGGUGCAGCGUCCCUAGCAGCAGCUUGAGCUUCACGGCCGACGAGAGGCCAUGGAAACAGAGGCGGAUGUUGUCGAUAACCGCAGCCGUGAGCAGGGACGCGAUGCUGGGCGGCGCCCACAGCUCGUCCGUGGCCCCCAGCUUGUUGUGCAGCCACAGGCCCGUGUCGCUCUCCCGCAUGGACGCCAUCUUGAGGGGGAAAAAGCCGGCCACCGCCGAGCCGGCAUCUUAUGAGGACACCUACGCGCCCGCGGCGAGGACCCUCAACAUGGCGGCGCCCGCAGGGCGAACGGCGGUGACGUCACCAGAGGAGGCGGGGCCUCGGAGAGACGCUUCGCGGCGGCGCGAGGACCGGCCGUCGGCCGCCGUAACGUAACAUGGCGGCGCCCGUGGCCGGAUCUCGAGGGCCGCGGAAGAUGACGUUUGCAGAGGAGUGGGCUGGCUCGGCCGGCCUACGCCCCCUUCAGCCCUGAAGUGGACGGAAUCCCGACGCGGCGGCUGGCGAGAGCCCCCGCCCCUCCACGGACGGCCGCCGGGGGGCGGCCAGGACGCCGGGGUCCCGCGCCGCUGGGAGCGAGGUUGUCGAGGUCAGAAAGACAUUUAGGGAAAUAUUUGCCAAAUAGAGUCGGGUGGGGUCCAGUUCUCGUCCGUUCCCUAGACAGCCCGCGUGCGCUGACCACCUGCGACGUGCCCGGCACAGUUCCAGUUGCUGGGGACACAGCGGUGAGCGAGUCGGGCCCAAACCUUCGCCCUUGCGGGGUCGGCGAUCCAGAGGAGGCGGGCGAGGGGACCGAGUGACGGGAGUGCCGCAUACCCUGCACAUCAGGCCUGCAGGCUCCUGGGCGAGCUUUCUCAAGCCUGGCAACCUCUCUGGUCCCCAGUGCUUUGUCCCAAGACAGGACUGAGUGAUGACGCCCGCGGCUGACCCGCGUCCUCGGGCUUAGCUGCAGGCGACCUUCUCCAGGCCGGCUUCCUUGCCUGCGCCCAGAGAUCUGUGUCAUAGCGCAGAAUCGGGCUAGUACCUCUUGUGGAUGAGGACAGCAAACUUGGAGCUUGGACCCGAACCUCAUCAUCUCCGUACCUGUGUACGAGCCCCCCUUCAGAUUCCCCUCUGCCAGCAGAGCCACAGCGCCCCGGCCUUUGCACUUCAUCCAGACCUGUGAGGGGAGAGGGUCAGGGAGCACCCAGUGCCUCACCCGUCUUCAGGUACCUGGGCGGUGGAGAGGUCAGCAGUCCAGACCCUUCCCGUCAAGCCUGCUGUCCUCCGAGAUUGGAGUGAGGCCCGACGCUGCUUUUAUUCUACUUGAGUCGGUUUUUCUUCCUUCCGCCAGCAAUCCCGAAGCCCAGCACUAUGUGUUGAAACUGUGUCCUGAUGUGUGUGUCAGACAUAAAGUACUGUUACGUGUAUGUUGGUGUCUUUGGUGGACAGGUGCGAUUGUGCUGAUCUUGUAUCCACAUUUUAGCUUUCCAUCCCCCUAGGAUGAAACCCUCACCUUGCUUCCAGUUGCCCCACCCUAUGGACAGUCUACAGUGAGGACCCUCCUACAAGGCCCUCUCAGACUACAUGUAAGAGUCUGGGAGGUGCAUGCCCCAGAGUCGGGGUGUUGGCCAGAGGUCACCAGGUAGUGUUAAAGAGGGCUGCUAAAAGUUCUCUAGGCGGACUGUGCUGGUUCACUUCCCACAGUUGACACAGGCUUGCGAGAGCCAAUUGCUAAAUUUUCAGGAAUUUUAUAAGCUUGUCAUUAAACACUGCCAUUGUUAAAAAUGUAACUUCAGGGCUUCCCUGGUGGUGCAGUGGUUGAGAAUCCGCCUGCCAGUGCAGGGGACACGGGUUCAAGCCCUGGUCCGGGAAGAUCCCACAUGCCGCAGAGCAACUAAGCCCGUGUGCCACAACUACUGAGCCUGUGCUCUAGAGCCCGUGAGCCACAACUACUGAAGCCUGUGCACCUACAGCCCGUGCUCCGCAACAAGAGAAGCCACCACAGUGAGAAGCCCGUGCACCACAACGAAGAGUAGCCCCCGCUUGCCGCAACUAGAGAAAGCCCACGCGCAGCAACAAAGACCCAAUGCAGCCAAAAAUAAAUAAAUAAAAUAAAUUUUUUAAAAAAUGUAACUUCAUUGUAUUGUAUUCAUUCACUAUUACCCAUUUCUGUCUGUUGUAACUGACUGGGAUGGUAGAGGUCUGUAUAACGUUGUACACUGCGCUUCUCAUCGAACCCCACUUUCACAGAUAACACACUGGCAGCUUGAACGCAGCAAAGGUGGGAGUACUUACACCACGGAUAUUGGCAAAUGCCACAGAUCAGGGCUUGAUUGUCUAGACUUAAAGUGAUAGAGAGAAUGCUAACAAUGAAGAUUAAACUUAAAAGUAUGUUGUGUCCGUAGUCAUUACAUUGUAAAUAGCACACACACGAUGUAUAAACAUAUUCUGUAACCUAAUUUCUUUCCUCAGUGGAGUACAUGUCCAGUGAACCCAAACAUCUUUAGUUUUUCUCUUAAUGAAAAGCAAAAGUAGCAAAACUUAGGCUUGUUUAGCAGUUAAUGUUCCAGUGUCUUAUUUGGGAAUGACCUGGGUACUCGAGGAAUUCCUGCUGUGAAUGGAAGAUAUUACCUAUCAAUAUGUCAUGUCAGUAAACAAAGGAUGUUGUAGCCAUCAGUCGCUACAGCCGCAUCCCGGACGGUGAGCCACGAGGGAGCUCAGGAUGGAGACAGGACGCCACCAUCAAACCGUCAGCCGCUGCAUCUGCCCCGCCCCACACAGGGCACCCGGAGGAAACUCAGGCUGCCAAAGCACGGGAUACUGGCCCCAGAUGGCUACGAUGCGUAGCAAAGGAAUGAUGUCAUUAACGGUGAUCCUUUGAAGCUCCGACUACCUGGUCUUUGUUACAAAAUACCCUUUGCAUCCUGGCCCCUCCCUCACCUCUUCAGAGCAG